CUGUACUGAAGUCUGAGGCUACUAGUAUUGUGUUGGAUUGUCCUGUGGCAACUAUAUUUCGACGCUGUGGCCUGAGUGAGACACUUUCCUCCGACAUGGGAUACUGGACAGAUAGGUUUCUUUCUUUGCCAUUUAACCGCAGGCUCUAGGCUUUAGUUGAUCUCUUGUACAAUUAGUAGAAUUUUUUUGGUUCCCAUAUUGUAUAUGAUUUAAAUAUAAUACAGCCAAGUAGUGUACAUUGUAUUUACCAUGGAAACUAGGUUGACAAUUACUGCCCAGUUUAUAAGUGAUGGUCGUUCUCUGGGGUACGAAGGUGAAAGAUUAGAGAGGUAUGUGGCUGAGCAGAAAGAAGACUAUGAAAAAGCUAAGAAAGAGAAAAGGCUAGAUUUGAGAGAGAGGAAAGAUUGAAAGCAGAGGCGAAGGCAGAGGAGAAGGCCAGAUUUGAACGUGAGAAGGAGCAGUUUGAACGUGAGGAUAAGGCCAAGCGUGAGGAACACGAGAGGUGGAAAGAAAGAGAUGCCAGGGAGGAACUCAAGAGGAAGGAGGAGAUGGAACUAGAAAGAAUGAAGGAAAAGUCAGCAGCAGCGGCUGGGAAGGCAACACAAGCAGAGGUGCGGCCUAGAAAUGUUUUAGAUAAACUUGACAAGAGCUUCCAGGGAAUGAAGGAAGACGAUGACCUGAUGGCAUACUGUCAAGCGUCUUACCACAAAACUCCACUGAAAUACACGUUUCCACACAAAUUAAAAUCCAGACCAACAUUAGAAUCCAAAAGACACAGUGCACAUCCAUUGAAACAUUGGAGUAGUAACAAAUUACAUGAAAUAUUAACAGAAAAAAAAUUAGAAAAAAAGAGUCCAGUACAAUCAGGUCGCCUGCUGUGCAGAGCCACAAAACAUUAUAGAUAUUUUUAUUGACAAAUGAAUGACGAGUUUAUAUAUCUUUGCAGUUUUUUCCUAGGACUAACCAUUACUGAGCUAUAAAAAUUCAAACAUAAAUAUUGUGGCGACAGCGCUUAACUUGUUCGUAAGAGGGAAAUUACCAUAUAUAAUUUAGAUCUUGUUUAUAAGAGGGAAAAUUACCAUAUAUCUAGAUCUAGUAAAUAGUAACUUUAUUUAACAAUAGAGGCAGAGCACAUCAUAUCAGAUGUUACUUGUGGACCGGUUCCUGGAUCAUAUGAUAAUGCUAGGGCUGAUUAUGACAUCCGUUCCACCCCUGAAGUCAAGCACUUUAUCACUAGGAAACCAUGCCCCCCUGACAAUGUAAGGAGUCAGUAGCAAGUGUAAAAGAAAACAAUCCAUGACUUUAGCCACAUUAGAGAAUCUUUUUGAAGGAUAAUGGUGCACUGGGUUUUAAGACUGAAUGGUGGAGAGUACCAUGAUGGCAUGUUUAAUGAUUUGAAAGAACUGGCUAUUGGGCAAUGAUUCACUUUGGAAGCAAUGAUUAAAGCAUCAAAACUAAACCCUAGAUUUUUCUAUGAAAUUGUGUCCUUCUGAUCAAAUUAUUGUGUGAUGUUGCUAAAGUGGAGAAAAUUAGCUGUAAUCACCAAAACCACAUGAUCGCCACUGCAUCAGGACAGGGUUACUUUCAGAACUUUGAUGAGAGAGACAGCGAGGAGGAAACUGGAAAGCACAGUGUUGUGAAAAAGAAGAAUCCAUGGGACUUUUCUCUAAAACUUUGGAAGAUACCAUUUGAAGAGGAGGUAGAGAAUAGCUCAUCUAAUAGUGGUGCGUAAUCUCACAUUAGCGUCACCAAAGUAUGGCUGACUGAAGGCAGGAAAGGGUUACAAAAGUUUGUGUAAGUGGAUAACCAACAUUUUAUUAAAGUUAGAUUAAUGUUUCAUCAUAACUUCUGGAAAUUUUAUUCUUAAGAGAUUGUAAAAAUGACUUGAAUAAUACAUUGCAAUAAUACGAUUGUUAGGUUAGAUAUCGACACUCGAUUGUCAUAGCCGACAAAUGUUAGUGACUUAGCAAGUUAAAACACUACAUAUAGGCCCUACACAGUUUGGAAAAUAACAGA
rnacentral:sRNA from 13 species